rnacentral:lncRNA from 1 species
CGAUAUCUUCGUGUAGAGAUUAUGUCCGGGUAAGACUUCGUAAUAAGAAUUGCUUAUAAAUAUAUUCAAUGCGAAAGGUUAAACAGGUAUGUACUCCAAGUUUAUAUGUGAGCUUGAUUUGCACUAAAUCAUAAGGUAGUUAUGUGAUGCAUACGAGAGCAAUCUAUGAGACUAUUCCUAUGAUUAUGUGACAUCGGAUCAGUGUGAGAGGUGAUGUGAAAUCAUACGAUAUAUCUAUGUCACAUGAGCUCACUUUUAUGUGAAAGUUUAUUUGCCUAUUGUAUAUGAUGAGAUGUGCAUAUUCGGUAAAGGGAUGGUAUGCCCGAAGGAAGAGUGAAAUAAAAAUACGAACAACUAUGUUAUAAUUUGAUUGUUAUCUGUUGACACUGCUUAAAACUUACUAAGCAUUGUAAUGCUUACUCCGUUUACUCUGUUUCCUCUGUUUUAUAGAUCUCAUUGCGAAGCUACAGGCUCGGGGAUCGUCAGCAACUAGUCACACUAUCACUAUCCACUGUUUGGUACUGCUAUGUUUUGGAUUAUCUUAUGGCAUUUAUAAAAUAGACUAGUGGCGGAAGAAUAUUUUGGUUAAUGUAUAUAGCCAUGCGAAAAUGGCUUAUAUAUGUUUGAGCAUAAUGUUAUAAUCAUUUGGUAUGGAAUGGUUAAUAACUAUCAUAAUUUGUGCUAUUUAUGCUAAAAGGGCUAGUUGAAUCAUGGAAACUAUGAAAUAGGUAAAGUCUACCUUAAAGGCAGAUGCUGGCAGCAGCAGUGAUGUAGAUUUGG